AAAGAAAAAAAGGCUCCAUAUUGAUUUUCUGGGGAUGAUUUUAUUAAAAAAGGCUUUUAUCUGGCCUCAUCUGGUCUUCUGACUUCUGACUCAUGAUGUAACUUCUUGCCCCAUGUAAGCACCCACCACUGUUAUUCAUACCUUUCUAAACACCCAAUGGUUUCUGACUGACUUGAGGGCUUUGAAAUUCCAAACUGUGAGUUAAAUAAAUGUCUUCAUAUGCAGCUUGGGUUGCAUAUUUUUAUAAUGCAAAGCUAAUUCAUCAUUAUACAUUAAACUAGCAACUGAAUAUAUUUUUUCACACCAUUUACUCUUUCCUUUUUCCCCAGGACAACCAAACGGUCAGCAGCUGUUGUUUCAUCCCUCAGAACACUACUGUAGCUUCCUAGCUGUCUCCCUGAAUUCAAAGUCCAACCACAACACAUGAUGGCCUAUGGUUCAAAGUGGGAGGAAUGGGUCUCUCUGAUUUGUUUCCCUUUGGAGGAUCAUCUCAACUAUGAAAACCUCCAUGUUGGAUGAGAUGCUUCCACAGCCAUUUCUUGGUGCUUCCCCACUGGCCCAUUGUUUGUACUUCAUUUGCAUCUGGUGAUUCAGUUCUUCUGUUUGUGAAAUUUCUCAGCACGGAGGUGUCGCACAGAGCAUGUGUGAAUGUUAGGAAGUCAAAGCACUACUACAGCAUGCUGGGGAAGUAAGGAGGAUGGAGAAAAACUACCACGUGGGACAGAGAGGAAAGUGAAAGUGAGUCUGAGGCAUCCCUGAGAACUAACUGUGGGCAGGCAUCCUCUCAGGAUGCCCUUGGCCCGAAGAAAGAAGCUUCAGUGGGUGUGUCCUCUAUCCAGAGCAUUUGUUCUCGCUGAGAAAGUGAAGAAUACAGAACAAAAGCCCCAUUCAUUGUGUCCAAGGAAACUUCAUAUUCCUGGUACAAUACUGCUGACAGAAAGAUGUCCUUUCUAACAACACUGUCCCCUUAGUCCCCGCAUCUCAUGCCUGAUUCUAUGACAAAAUCAAUGUGAGUUGGCUCCAGUUUAAAUAUAAUCAUGACAACUAGCUUACCAUUGUGUCAAUCUCUUAUUAUUUCUACCAAGACUGUUCCCUUAAGCGAGUCCCCAUAAGUCCUCAGAGUUUCAGGAUUAGUGUAGUCUGUUUGCUCUUGUGCGCGCGCGCACGCGCACGCACGCACACACACACACACACACACACACACACACACACACACACAUAUAUAUAUGCACUAUAUUAUAUAAUGCUAUAAACAGUCUGCCAAACGACUGUCAUUAAUGAAUAUGUAUGAGGUUUUAGCAACAGA